CGGUUGUAACAAGGUUUCUAUAAGUAAACCUAUAAAAGAAUUAUUACCUUUCUAGCUAUUUAAUAGCUUAUCUAGAGGCUACAGUUUCUAUAGUUUCUAACUACAUCUAUGUUUUUUGCGUACUAUAUGUUUUCUUAGCAGGACUCACUUACUAAUUAGAUAAACUAAAACUCUUUGCAAUUGCAAUUAGCGUCUAAAUUAUAUAAUAAUUACAA
rnacentral:misc_RNA from 1 species